CAUCCCUCUGUUCCGAUUAAAGCAAUUUGAAGUCACCAGUUUCUAACGCAUCGUGUGUUUGGGUUUCUUCUCCCCAGUCCCUGGCUUUCUGUGUUCUUCCCGAAACAUCAGCAAGGUGACAUCUGGCAGGCCUUUUUCCAGAAGAAACAGUGAGUUUAACAUUCCAGAAGGCAUUGAGAAAUCCUGGUCCCAGCAGGAAGAUAACAAACCGAAUAUCGGAGGCAGCAAAAAUAGACUUCUUAUGAGUCAGGUGGACUACUCCCUGGACUAUCGGCUGAGGACAUGCAAAGAUCGACAAGAGCAUGAAAUACAGAAAUACAGAGAAAGCAAAAAUAAAGUUCUUAUGAGGCAAGCGGCGUACUACCUGCGCUGCCGGCUGAAGAUUGAAGGUAAGGAAGUUCUAUAGGUUCACCUUCAUCAUGAAAGUGCUGAACGAUCUUCUGUCUUUUCUCUGAGAAACUGAACACUUCUUCAGAAUUUACUGAAUUUUUCCCAUACUUCUAGGCAAAUAUAAAUGGGUAGCUUUGCAUUUUGUUAAAAAUGGAUCCGUCGGUUCAGUCUCCUCUGUAAAUUUCUCUAACCAUUAGCUGACCAUCACAUAUGAUGAGAUAAAUCAGUAUUGCUGCAAUGUUGUCCCUCAGUCAAGUGGCCUCUAGUCUGUUGUUCUGAAUGUCUGAGGCUGCGGAACUUCCAUUCGGUUCCGGUUUCUGCUGAGGCCCAGUAGGCAAAGCAGUGUUCUGGGGACACUGGGGUGAACACGGUGAUAACACACAGUACCCGCUGUGGGGAACUUAAAGAGGACUCUUCUCCUUACACAACCUGUGGUAUCGGUAAGUGGCACCAUCAAGAGCAGGGAGUACUUUUGUAUUCGUGACUCGGCCUGUUAGCUGGGAUCCCCGGUGGAAACCAUGACCCUUGGCUAGUUUUUGUAUUUUUAGUAGAGGUGGGUUUUCACCAUGUUGGCCAGGCUGGUCUUAACUUCCUGAGGUCAACUGAUCUCCCUUCCUGGGCCUCCUAAAUUGCUCCAAUCCCAGGCAUGAGUCACUGUGCUGGCUCCACAGAUUCUUUUCUAUGUAAAGCUUGUUAGAAUUCAUCCGUCAGUCCAUUCUCCUCUAUAAAUUUCUCUAACCAUCAUAUAUGACGAGAUAAAUCAGUAUUACUGCAAUGCUUUUGGAAAGUAGUUAGGGCAAUUUUAGAAGGUUUUGGGGACAAAGUUUUAAUUGUUUGUGCUGACUUAGGUGAGAGGAUAAGUGAUUAAGAUCUAGCAGAUAAGGGAGAUUUUUGUCCCAUGGAUCUGAAAAGCAGGCUCAUCUACUUCUAGGGUGACCUAAUCUAGUGACCAGUAGAACAUUCCCUUCAGAAUAUCACAUUCUGAAACGGAGAAUAUUUUUCAUCCUUGUUCUAUG
rnacentral:lncRNA from 13 species